AGCAAUAUCAUUACGUACAAAACAUACCUACGCAUAUCACGUCUUUAUCCUUUACGGUGUAGACGAAGCCAAUAAUAGUUCUAGUACAUUCUUGGUUUUAUCUAGUGCAAAAAAAACUUAUUUUUUGUGGUAACAAAAGGUAACAAAAACAACAGAUAGGUAUGAUUUGUUCAAAAUGGUAUGGACUUGUACAAGAAAAACCCAUAAUGGUAACAAAAACAAUUGGUCCUACAAUAGGCAAGGCUUGUAUCAUGGGCACCAUAAAGGAGAAUACAGGAAAGUUCUAUUCAGUUAGGCUAGAAUGAGAAGCCGAACUUGAAAUAAGUUACCGAAAUAUGUAGUAAUAAGUACUUCUUCCAGGAUAUCAAUGGUCUGCAUUUUUUUUUACUUAGUCGUUUUCGAUAAGGAAGAAGGAAAAAUGAAUGAACAACUGAUGGAUCCCGAGGUAGAGUUGGAGAACAAGAACUCACCAUCUGACCUCUUCAAAAUUUGCAGAGAAACCUAAUCCAUAUUGGAUUAUGAUGAUGACUGAUGUCUCAAAUUUUAACUUAUACCUUACCUUCUUUAAGCAAAUCACAUUCAAUGCAGUGAUACAUAAAGGUGUAAUUCUUGUUAGUUUCUGCUGAUAUAGGGCCAGAUAUUUUUGUCCUCAUCAUAAAAUAUUAUUCUGUUAAGUUUGGUUGCCCUAUUAGUCUGCUGUUACUAUUUUAUUAAAUACUUAAGGCUCAAAUUUCAAAUGCUUCAGGCAAUUAAUUGUUUACAUAGAUCUCGAUUCUGUUAUGGGCGUAGAUGAUAACAAGCUAUUAAUAAAUCUUACCUUUA